rnacentral:rRNA from 1 species
GGAUGAAGGGAGCUUGCUCCUGGAUUCAGCGGCGGACGGGUGAGUAAUGCCUAGGAAUCUGCCUGGUAGUGGGGGAUAACGUCCGGAAACGGGCGCUAAUACCGCAUACGUCCUGAGGGAGAAAGUGGGGGAUCUUCGGACCUCACGCUAUCAGAUGAGCCUAGGUCGGAUUAGCUAGUUGGUGGGGUAAAGGCCUACCAAGGCGACGAUCCGUAACUGGUCUGAGAGGAUGAUCAGUCACACUGGAACUGAGACACGGUCCAGACUCCUACGGGAGGCAGCAGUGGGGAAUAUUGGACAAUGGGCGAAAGCCUGAUCCAGCCAUGCCGCGUGUGUGAAGAAGGUCUUCGGAUUGUAAAGCACUUUAAGUUGGGAGGAAGGGCAGUAAGUUAAUACCUUGCUGUUUUGACGUUACCAACAGAAUAAGCACCGGCUAACUUCGUGCCAGCAGCCGCGGUAAUACGAAGGGUGCAAGCGUUAAUCGGAAUUACUGGGCGUAAAGCGCGCGUAGGUGGUUCAGCAAGUUGGAUGUGAAAUCCCCGGGCUCAACCUGGGAACUGCAUCCAAAACUACUGAGCUAGAGUACGGUAGAGGGUGGUGGAAUUUCCUGUGUAGCGGUGAAAUGCGUAGAUAUAGGAAGGAACACCAGUGGCGAAGGCGACCACCUGGACUGAUACUGACACUGAGGUGCGAAAGCGUG